GCCAGCGUGGCGUAGCGCUUUGAGUGCGGGACUGAGACUCUGGGGGUCCAGGGUUCGAAUCCCACCUCGUGCA